CCUAAGACCCAAUGCAGCCAAACAGAAUAUGAAUAAAUAUAUUUUAAAAUGUCAGAGGUUCCAGGCAGGCGGGUUAAUUCCCCAGCCUGUGGCUUAACGCGUGCAUCACACCCUGCUCACACGCGCUUAGUGGCAACAUCGUGAAGACCAUACCGAAGGAAACGACACAACAGCAAACCCUGAGAGGAGACACCCCCCGCCGCCAUGGACAGCUGUGUUGCUGUAUCGCUGGGUCCCUGCACAGAAAUUUGGGUGUAAAAGGAAACCUUGAGAAGUGUGGAGACAUAAAGAGUAUCUCUAAGAAGAAAAGUAGGGUUUGGCAGUGAAUCUUUUUCUGUGCAUAAUUUAACUUCUUUCUUUGCUACCCUGAACCAGAAGGGAAUAAAGUUAAAUAUAGACCUUGAGAUACCGCCAGACUUGUGCAAAUAGACAUUAGGAAGAGUGUUGAAAGUUGCAGAAAACUACAGAGUACAAUUAAAUUUUUGUCCAUCAAUCACUGCUUGCUAGGUACUCUUACAGAAGUUUUGUGUGAGAAUGCUGUUUUAUCUCUAAAGGAAGGUAUUAUUCACCAGCUUUUAGAGAUGAUGGCCUUCGGAGAGAUUAAGUAACUUGCCUGAAGUCACACAGCUGGAAAAAGGGUUGAAACCCAGGUUUGUCUGAGUUAUCAGUGCCUAUCUUUUUCAAUGUAUUUGUUGCCUCCACCAGGAGACUCAUCUCUCAGAGAGACACAUACACAGGCCUCCUGGGGGCACGUAUGUGUCCUGCUUCUAUUUGUCUUUCACGCUUCAUGUUUAUGUGAUGCUAAGAAGCUCAUGUUUCCGGUUUGCUCUGAAAAUUCAAAUGGCUACCCUGUCUCGCUCUACUCCCCAUCCACCUGGUAGUUAAUAAUCACUACUUCCUGGGCAGGAAUUACCCCUGCAGAAUCAUCCUUUCUCCCCCUGCCCUCUUCAGCAGCUUGGCCAGUGUCAAUAACCCCAGACAGAAAUUCAAACAUAGUCAGAGGGACUUCCCUGGUGGCCCAGUGGUUAAGAAUCCUCCUGCCAAUGCAGGGGGUGGGGACACAGGUUCCAUCCCUGGUCUGGGAAGAUCCCACGUGCUGUGGGGCAACGGAGUCCUUGUGCCGUACCUACUGAGCCCGUGUUCUAGAGCCCAGGAGCCGCAACACCGACGACUGUGUGCCCUGGAGCCCCUGCACCACAGCAAGAGAAGCCACCGCAGUGAGAAGCCCGUGCGCUGCAACUUGAGAGCAGCCCCCACUUGCUGUAACUUCAGAAAGCCCCGGUGCAGUAGCAAGGUCCCAGUGCAGCCAAAAUUAAAAUAAAUAAAUACUAAAAAAAAAAAAAAAUAGACAGUGGCAACUCCAGCUCCAGACAAGGAAACAGGCCCUGGCCCCACCCGCCUCUAGGCUCAAGGGUCUGUUAAUAUCACCUUGGAGAAUCCAUCUCAAGACUUUUCAGCAUCAGGAGGGGCUUCCAAACUCUGACCAGCAGAGGAAAUGAGGCCACGUUGAACCAACAGCACUGUUUUCUGCCAGCCGCAAACACUUGGCAAGAAGGAAGGCUUGGAACAGGGAUUUCUCUGGUGGUCCAGUGGUUAGGAAAUCCGCCUGCCAAAUGCAGGAGACACAGGUUCAAUCCCUGGUCUGGGAAGAUCCCACACGCCGAGGGACAUCCAAGCCUGUAACCUAGAGCCGGUGCUCUGCAGUAAGAGAAGCCCGAUCAUUGCAACGAAGACUCAGCACAGCCAAAAUAUAAAUAACAUUUUUUUUAAAAGAUUAUUUUUCCAAAUGAAGUUAGGUUCACAGGAGAUCAGGGCAUGGGCAUAUCUCCUGGGGCCCUCCAUGCAGAAUCCACCCCUAGAAACACUUGCGUGACCACCUUUGACACCUGGCUGCCUGGUCUCCUUGCCUCCUGCUCGUAUACCCUGAAUGGGCCUGAUACGAGGGCUGGGGGUCCAAAGCAGAGGGACCCGGGCCACCCUCCGGGACCCACAGUCUGUAGUGGCAGAAGGACAGACAGACCCCCACUGGCUCCCUCCACACCCUGGCGGCCCUGGGUCGCCGGGCUCCCAGGGGAGGACACCCCUCAGCCUCCCAGGUGUUCUGGCCGGGCAUCCUGCCGCAGACACACGCUCGGGAUGCCCCCCGUCCUCCAGACGGGCUCCUGACGCCCCGGGGCGGUGACCAAGCACCACUCAGCCACCGCUGCAGCCGUUCAUUUCGGUGCUGGAGCAGCCUGGGUG
ensembl:lncRNA